rnacentral:tRNA from 1 species
GCGGAUGUAGCUCAGUUGGUAGAGCGCAACCUUGCCAAGGUUGAGGUC